rnacentral:tRNA from 1 species
GUUUCUGUAGCGUAGUCGUUAUCACGUUUGCCUAACAUGCAAAAGGUCCCCGGUUCAAAACCGCAUGGAAACA